rnacentral:rRNA from 1 species
UACGUAGGGGGCAAGCGUUGUCCGGAAUCAUUGGGCGUAAAGAGCGUGUAGGCGGCUUGGUAAGUCCGCUGUGAAAGUCCAGGGCUCAACCCUGGAAUGCCGGUGGAAACUGUCAAGCUUGAGUCCGGAAGAGGCGAGUGGAAUUCCUGGUGUAGCGGUGAAAUGCGCAGAUAUCAGGAGGAACACCGGUGGCGAAGGCGGGUCUCUGGGCCGAUACUGACGCUGAGGUGCGAAAGCGUGGGGAGCAAACAGG